rnacentral:rRNA from 1 species
GGUAGGUGCAAGCGUUAGUCCGGAAUUAUUGGGCGUAAAGGGCGCGUAGGCGGUACCUUAAGUCAGAUGUGAAAACCCGAGGCUUAACUUCGGAGGUGCAUUUGAAACUGGGGAACUAGAGUGCAGGAGAGGUAAGCGGAAUUCCUAGUGUAGCGGUGAAAUGCGUAGAUAUUAGGAGGAACACCAGUGGCGAAGGCGACUUACUGGACUGUAACUGACCGCUGAGGCGCGAAAGCGUGGGGAGCAAACAGGAUUAGAUACCCUGGUAGUCCACGCUGUAAACGAUGGAUACUAGGUGUGGGAGGUAUCGACCCCUUCCGUGCCGCAGUAAACGCAAUAAGUAUCCCGCCUGGGGAGUACGGCCGCAAGGUUG